UGGGGUUUCUUUAAAUACGGAUGGGGAAAAAAACGCAUCGACGGCAUCAAUACCUUUGUUAGAGAAGCUGAAUAAAUCUUCGCUUCUUCUCCAUUCCAGAGCCCUGAAAGUGCUGUUAAAUUAAAUUACACGCAGCCGGGUGUUUAUAUUUAGGGUCCAUGGAUGCCAACCGUAACAACAACAACAAAGGAAAGAAAGCCAACAACAACAGCAGCAAUAAUCCCAACAUGGAGAGUGAGAGUAAAUAUCUGCCGGAGCUGCUGGCGGAGAAGGACAGCCUGGACGCGUCGUUCACUCACGCCAUGAAACUGCUCACUGCAGAGAUCGAAAGGAUUCAGAAAGGCGAGCCGAAAAAAGACGGCGAGACGUACCUGGACCUGUUCACUGCCAAAAACGUGCGAGUGAAAGAACGAGUGCUUAUUCCUGUCAAACAGUACCCUCGGUUCAACUUUGUGGGGAAGAUUCUCGGACCCCAGGGCAGCACCAUCAAAAGACUGCAGGAGGAAACCGGAGCAAAGAUUUCAGUCCUGGGCAAGGGCUCGAUGAGAGACAAGAACAAGGAGGAAGAACUGCGGAAGGGAGGGGAGCCUAAGUACGCUCACCUGUCCAUGGAGCUGCACGUGUACAUUGAAGUGUUUGCGCCGAUCCCUGAAUGCUACCUGCGUAUGGCUCACGCUAUGGAUGAGGUUAAGAAGUUCCUCAUGCCUGUGGACAACAUGGACGAGAUGCACCAGGAUCCCUUCAUGGACGUCGGGUAUCUGAACGGUGCUCAGGAUGCUCCCACUCGGGGCCGUGGAGGGCCUGGCCGGGGCCGCGGAGGCCCACCACUUCCCAUGCCUGGAGCUAGGGGUCGUGGCAUGCUCCCACGUGGCGGUGCCCCUCGUGGCGGUGCCCCCAGAGGAGGCCCAGGAAGAGGUGGAGCAGCUAGAGGAGCACCCGUGGGCCGGGGCGGACAUCCUUCUGCCUCCACUAACCGCGGAGGAGCUGCAGGACGGUCCCGACCCCCCACUGCCUCGCAGAGGAUGGCACCUGCACCCGCGCUCUCUCAUCAGCAGCAUCAAGCACCAGAAUCGUACGAGGAAUACUCGUAUGACGAGACCUACGCUGAAACUCCAUACGAAGGUUACGAUAACUAUUACAACCAGUCAGCACCACAGGGAGAAACUGAGUAUUAUGACUACGGCCAUGGUGAGUCUCAGGAGAACUACGAAUCAUAUGCUGAGGACGACUGGGAAGGUGCUGCGUGGGGUAGUGGCGGAGGGAAAGCUCCUUCUGCCCGCCAGAAUAAAGGAAACUAUCGCGAACACCCGUACGGAAGAUUCUGAGACGUAUCGCUCAGUCGGGUUGCCUGGGCAACCGCCUCCAAUUGUAACUCCUUUUAACAGCUCAAAAAGCUGAUCUGAUCUGCUGACUGGUAUCUGACUGGAUGAAACCAGUGGCCACUAAAAGAUCCUAAAGUGUGCCCCAAGAUCCUCUCAAGCUGCCAUAAAUCCUCUUUUUGUCUUCAGAACAUUCCACAAAAAGCCAUUUGUUCGGCUUUGGCAGCGGCAGCUGUGUCCCCCGCAAGACCCAAACGGAAUAUCUUCCUGCCGCGAUGUUUGCUUUUCCACCUGUUAGCAAGAGUGGAAAGGCCAGAGAUAUAUAUUUUUAAAGCUUUUAUUUGGUUAAAUGUUGAAUUAUUUUUUAAGGGGUGGGGUACUUGGUAUAAAAUUUUAUUAAAUGAUUCAUGAAUACAGCUGUAUUUUAUAAAUACAUUAUAAAGAUUUUUAUGGUGUUUUGUACAGUUAGACAGUAAAUAUUUUCUAUAGUGUAAAAUGUUCUCACAUGAACUUUGUAUGUCAAGUAGUAAAUAAAUUAUUACAGGAAAACAA